rnacentral:rRNA from 1 species
GCACUCUCCACCAGCCAAAUCAUGGUAAUGAACUGCAGUUUUUACAAUGAACUAAUGAAGUGCACUUUUCAACAACAACAAAAUUGAGUAAUGGGGCAUCUAAUAGAAUUGCAUCAUUUCAUCUUUUCCUGCAAAGAUGAGUAAAAUGAACCUCAAUAGCAGCCAUAGUCGUACUGUAUCCCUCCUUUUGCCACUCAAAACAAAAUGCACCAGGGUCCCAAUAGUGGACUGCACGCACAAGCCAAUCGCCGGAAAACUGCACAACCUGUACACCCACCAAACUGCACGGCCAGGAAGUGGCGUUGCUGUCAGGCAGGAGCGAAAUAAAAAACAGCACGAGAUCUCUCUCAGAAGCGUACUGCACUGUAAAGAGUACAAAUAAAACAAAAAAAUACACCUGAAUUGCAUGCACAUGCGCUCUACACCGCAUGGGUGCACCAUGAGAACUGCUCGUUGUGUGUGUUUUGUCAUCCACCCCUAAUAUGCACAUAGGCAGGCUGUGAGCUGCACGAACUAGAAAAAUGGACCACGGGGCAACCUUCGGCGGUGCAGUAGCCAACAAACUGCAACGCUGCGAGGUGGGCACCGAGCCGUAUCCAUGGAUCCGCGGCCGAGGUCACCAGACCCAGCUGCAAUCUGAGAGGACGAUCGAGGCCGGCGGUUGCUGCACCGUGGCUGACGACGAGGGGCGACGGCGAACCUGCACGAAGACAGGGGCCCUGACAAAGCUGCAUGGGGGCCGCGACCGAGCUGCACAGGGGACUGUGACCGAGCUGCACGUGUUGCGGUGGCGCCCAAGUACCCACGGAUGGCGCAGAUGUGGGUCUCGCUGGAGACCGUCACGAGGAGAGGGCUCGUCGUUGACUUGAUCCAGAUCAAGGACGAAUGGCGAGGCAGGGCGGCGCGAGACCAGCCCGAGGGGCACCAGGAGGUGCGGCCAACUACGACGCCAGUGGGGGAAGAAGACGGAUUCGGGUGGGGCGGCGCCAGCGGGGGAAGAAGCCAUAUUCGGGUGGGGCGGCGCUGGCGGGGGAAGAAGCCGGAUUCGAGUGGGGCGGCGCUAGCGGGGGAAGA